GUUCGAUCUCAAAUCAGGUAGGACUACCCGCUGAACUUAAGCAUAUCAAUAAGCGGAGGAAAAGAAACUAACAAGGAUUCCCCUAGUAACUGCGAGUGAAGCGGGAAAAGCUCAAAUUUAAAAUCUGGCGUGCCUCUGGUCGUCCGAGUUGUAGUUUAGAGAAGCGUUUUCUGUGCUGGACCGU
rnacentral:rRNA from 1 species